rnacentral:lncRNA from 1 species
AGUGUGAAUUGAUCUAUUCUUAUCUCCUUGUACAAAGCUCAAGUCUAAGUGGAUCAAAGACCUCUACAUAAAACCAGAGACACUGAAAUUUAUAGAGGAGAAAGUGGGGAGAACCUUUGAAGAUAUGGGUACAGGGGAAUAAUUCCUAAACAGAACAGCAAUGGCCUGUGCUGUAAGAUCAAGAAUCGACAAAUGGGACAUCAUAAAAUUGUAAAGCUUCCAUAGGGCAAAAGAUACUGUCAAUAAGACCAAAAGGCUACCAACAUAUUGGGAAAGAACCAAUCCUAUAUCUGAUAGGGGACUAAUAUCCAAUAUAUACAAAGAGCUCAAGAAGCUGAACUGCAGAAAUUCAAAUAACUCCAUGAAAAAUGGGGUACAGAGUUUAGACAAAGAAAUCUCAAGGGAGGAAUACCAAAGGCCUGAGAAGCCCUUGAAAAAAUGAUCAGCAUCCUUAGUCAUCAGGGAAAUGCAAAUCAAAACAACCCAGAGAUUCCACCUCACACCAGUCAGAAUGGCUAGGAUCAAAAAUUCAGGAGACAACAGAUGCUGGCUAGGAUAUAGAGAAAGAGGAACCCUCCUCCAUUGCUGGUGGGAUUGCAAGCUUGUACAACCACUCUGGAAAUCAGUCUGGCAGUUCCUCAGAAAACUGGACAUAGUACAAAUGCUAGAUCCAGCAAUACCUCUCCUGGGCAUGUACCCAAAAGAUAUUCCAAAUGGUAAUAAGGACACAUGCUCCACUGUGUUCAUAGCAGCCUUAUUUAUAAUAGCCAGAAGCUGGAAAGAACCAAGAUGUCCCUCAACAGAGGAAUGGAUACAGAAAAUGUGGUGCAUUUACACAAUGGAGUACUACUCAGCUCUUAAAAACAAUGAAUUUAUGAAAUUCUUGGGCAGAUGGAUGUAUUUGGAGGCUAUCAUCCUGAAUGAGGUAACCCAAUCACAAAAGAAGUCACUUGAUAUGCACUCAUUGAUAAGUGGAUAUUAGCCCAGAAACCUAGAAUAGCAAAGAUACAACUUCCAAAACACAAGAAAAUCAAGAAGGAAGACUAACACAUGUAUACUUCAUUCCUCCCUAGAAUAUGGAAUAAAAUAUCCCUGGAAGGAGUUUCAGAGACAAAGUUUGGAGCUAAGACGAAAGAAUGGACCAUGCAGAGACUGCCCCACCCAGGGGUCCAUCCUAUAAUCAGCCACCAAACGCAGACAUUAUUGCAUAUGCCAGCAAGAUUUUACUGAAGGGACCCUGAUAUAUAGCUGUCUCCUAUGAGGUUUUGCCAGUGCCUGGCAAAUACAAAAGUAGAUGCUCACAGUCAUCUAUAUGAUGAAACACAGAACCCCCAAUAUUUGAGCUAGAGAAAGUACCCAAGAGCUGAAGGUGUUUGCAACCCUAUAGGUGGAACAACAAUAUGACCUAAUCAGCACCCCAUAGCUCGUGUCUCUAGCUGCAUAUGUAUCAGAAUAUGGCCUAGUUGGCCAUCAAUGGGAAGAGAAGCCCCUUGGUCUACCAAACUUUAUAUGCCCCAGUACAGGGGAACGCCAAGGCCAAGAAGUGGGAAUUAGUGGGUAGGGGAGCAGGGCAUGGGGAGGGUGUAGGGGACUUUGGGGAUAGCAUUUGAAAUGUAAAUGAAGAAAAUAUCUAAUAGAAAUUC